rnacentral:lncRNA from 1 species
CUUCAUGACACCAGAGCAAUCUUCAGCACUGCUAAAACAGAACCUAGCUAAUAGCAGGGACUCAAGUGAGAUUUCUAGAAUGAAGAGAUGGAUAAGCCUGUGGAGAGGAGUUGGCACGUAGUAGAUGCUAAUCCAUGGCAGCUAUUACUCUUGUUAAAAGUAAACCUACCCCCACCACCAACAGCGAGGUCAACGCCCACAGCCUAGACCUGGGAGGGGCUGGGUCCAGCAGACCCGGCUUAAGCAUUUUGGCUAAAGGCUGCUCAGGACUGACCAUCCAGCCUCCCACCUGCAGACCUGGACUCCCAACCCCACAGGUCCAAAGCGUCACACAGGGCAACGGGAUUGCAUUAUCCUGGCUUCUCCCUUCGUCCCCAUUACAUUUAGUUUGCAUUUAUUCACUUAUGAGUCUUGAAACAAGAAGUUGAAAUGCGUAAAUGUACUUUUUUUCCUGAGCUACAUUAAUUUUGGAGUAAGAUUUAUUCUGCCCAGUGCUCCUUUUAUGGUUACUGAUGAGCUCCUGAGGCCCCCGUAGGGGCUGCAACCAGACAGGUGAGACUGGAGAGGUGGGGUGGGCAUUCCCAGCAAGGCUGGCGCCCAGGGACUUUUCAUCUGAGCUGGGUCCUCAGCCCGAUGACAGCAUUUUCCCCAGAGGAGUGUGCUGGCAUAG